CCUACGGGAGGCAGCAGUGGGGAAUAUUGGACAAUGGGGGCAACCCUGAUCCAGCCAUGCCGCGUGUGUGAAGAAGGCCCUCGGGUUGUAAAGCACUUUCAGUGAGGAAGAACGCCUGGUGGUUAAUACCCAUCAGGAAAGACAUCACUCACAGAAGAAGCACCGGCUAACUCCGUGCCAGCAGCCGCGGUAAUACGGAGGGUGCGAGCGUUAAUCGGAAUUACUGGGCGUAAAGCGCGCGUAGGUGGCUUGAUAAGCCGGUUGUGAAAGCCCCGGGCUCAACCUGGGAACGGCAUCCGGAACUUGCAAAGAUGAGUUCAGGAGAGGAAGGUUAGAAUCCCCGGGGAGGGGGGGAAAGCGGAGGGGACCGGGGGGAAAACAGGGGCGAAGGGGGGCUUCUGGACUGAACCCGACCACGGGGGUGGGAAACGGUGGUAGCAAACAGGAUUAGAUACCCCAGUAGUC
rnacentral:rRNA from 1 species